rnacentral:lncRNA from 1 species
CAUCCCCCAAGUAGCGCCGAGAGGAGCUGCCCACCUGGGCUGCAGCAGGUCACACUUAGCCACUGUGUUGAGACACAGUCUCAUGACUGCCACUUGGGGAACGGCCACUCUGCCUCCCUGUCUGGGCUGUGCUCCCUGCCCGCAACGGACACCAAGCAGGCCUGCCCGGCUCUCAGACCUUCCGGAGCUCCCGCCUGUGUCCCUGUGAACAUCAAUAGGACUUGUUUCCAGAACCUCAGAUUCACAGUCCCCUCCUUGAAUCAGCUCCCAAACUUGCUCUCCAGCAUGGUGGCCCCCUCUUGCUCCUGUGAACCUGUGUUGCAGCUGUUCCAGAUUCCAUGUCAUCCCCAGCCCCACAAAGUCAGCCUUGUGCUUACUGACUCCAUGGUGUGGCUUUCUCAUGCCUCCUGCUUGGUAUGGACAGUCCUGUCUCUGCCCAUCACAUUCCUACCCUUCGUUCAAGACCCAGACACCAAAUGCUCAAACCCACAUGGUGAUUAAGAGCAUGGAAUCUACAACCAGAUUGACCAGGUACAAGACCCAGUUCUAUUUCCUCUAGAGUUUGACCUUUUGAGAAAGUUUUGUAACCCUUCUUUGCCUAGCUUUACUCAUCUGUAAAAGGAAGACAAUAGUAGUAGCAACUGCUUCAUUGGAUAUUGUGAAGAUUAAGUGAGGCUACGUGUAAAGCACUUGAGACAGCGUCCAGCUUGUGGUCUGCACUGUAUGUCAGCUGUAAUACCCCAGAUUAUGAAGCCUCUGCUGAUCCUUCUGAAGGCUACUCUGGGCCACAUCAAUCUCUCUCUUUCCUCCAUACCUCAAGAAUUUUCCUUGACACCAGUAGCAAUCUGUACCAUAUCUGCCUGGUUGUGAAGUUAGGAUUCUUUGAUGGCAAUUGGACAAUUGUUCAAAACCCACUGGAUCAAACGAAGGGAUUUUUUUUUUUUCUUUUAGAGACAGGGUCUAUCUUGCCUAGGCUGGUCUCAAGCGAUCCUCCCACCUUGGCCUCUCAAAAUGCUGGGAUUAGUGGCAUGAGCCACCACGCCCAGCCCAAACAAGGGGAUUCUUAUCACAAGCGUGUGAAUGGGCCUUGCAGCGUCCCAGGGCAGGAAUGCACAGCACCUCAGGAAACCCUGGCACUGGCGUCUGGAAAUACUGCUUGGGUAGGGUUCUCUCUCUGAACAUUCAUUUAAUUAUUCUCUCUGUAGACUGUGGCCUUGCAGACUUGGCUGGAAUCCACUGUUUAUGGUACUCAAGGGUACACGCCACAGUCUGACAUGGAAAGAUGGAAUCUCCUCCUUCAUCCCAGUUCAGCCCUGACCAGCCUCUCUAGGGGCAGGGGCAAAGGGAAGGGUCAUGUUAUACAGAAUUAUUGCUGAGGGUGUCUCACUUUGGGUGAAAGGGUGCAUUUAGAGGGGUCCAUGCCAGAGACUACAAAUUGGUCCCCAGGAUUUAUUUCCCCAUCUUUCUCAGUUAUAGAACUCCCGGGUUUUUGCUGUCCUAAAUAAAGACUGCAUUUCCCAGCCUUCCUGGCAGUUGGAAGGGGCACGUGAUUAGGUUCUGGCCAAAGCGACAUUAAAGGGAGGAGAAUGCCUUUCUUUGCUUCCUCUGGCUAGAUGGACUCUGGAGCCAGGCUGGCGGAGUUCAAAUCCUAGUCCUGCCACCUAUGAGUUGUGUGACUUUGGACAAGUACCUAACCCUUUUGUGCCAGUUUCCUUUGCAGUAAAAUGGGAAUAAAAAGAAAAUCUACGUAACAGUAGAUAUUCUGUGAGGAUUACGUGAAUUCAUAUUUGAAGAGUGAGUAGAAGGGUUCCUGGCACAAGCUCUACAAGUGUGGCUGGAAUGAAUAUGAUGAUGAGGAUGAAGAUGAGGAUGGCGGGGCUGGAGCUCAAGUGCCAUACUGUGUCCUGGAGCAGAAGCCACGUGUUGAGGACAGUCUGGACCCUUAACGAGGGUUGAGCCACGACACCAGCCUGUGACUGUUUACCUCUUGAGUUUGUUUACAGGAGAAGAAAAUAAACUCUC